rnacentral:rRNA from 1 species
UACAGAGGGGGCAAGCGUUAUCCGGAAUGAUUGGGCGUAAAGCGUCCGCAGGUGGCAGUUCAAGUCUGCUGUCAAAGACCGGGGCUUAACUUCGGAAAGGCAGUGGAAACUGAACAGCUAGAGUAUGGUAGGGGCAGAGGGAAUUCCUGGUGUAGCGGUGAAAUGCGUAGAGAUCAGGAAGAACAUCGGUGGCGAAGGCGCUCUGCUGGACCAUAACUGACACUCAGGGACGAAAGCUAGGGGAGCGAAUGGG